rnacentral:rRNA from 1 species
CCUACGGGCGGCAGCAGUGGGGAAUAUUGGGCAAUGGAGGAAACUCUGACCCAGCAACGCCGCGGGAAUGAUGAAGGUCUUCGGAGGGGAAAGUUCGUGUAUAAGGGAAGAAGAAAGUGACGGUACCUUAGUAAUAAGCCUCGGCUCACGACGGGCCAGCAGCCGCGGUACUACGGAGGAGGCGAGCGUUAGCAGGAAUUACUGGGCUUAAAGGGUGCGUAGGUGGUUUGGCAAGUUAGUAGCGUAACUCCAAGGCUCAACCUUGGAACUCCUACUCAAACGGUUGGACUUGAGUGCAUGAGUGGCAACCGGAAUUCCUAGUGUAGCGGUGGAAUGCGUAGAUAUUAGGAGGAACACCAGUGGCGAAGGCGGGUUGCUAGACUGUAACUGACACUGAGGCACGAACGCGUGGGGAGCACACAGGAUUAGCUACCCGUGUAGUC